GACGAACGCUGGCGGCGUGCUUAACACAUGCAAGUCGAACGGAAAGGCCCCGCUUUUGUUGGGUGCUCGAGUGGCGAACGGGUGAGUAACACGUGAGUAACCUGCCCUUGACUUUGGGAUAACUUCAGGAAACUGGGGCUAAUACCGGAUAGGAGCUCCUGCUGCAUGGUGGGGGUUGGAAAGUUUCGGCGGUUGGGGAUGGACUCGCGGCUUAUCAGCUUGUUGGUGGGGUAGUGGCUUACCAAGGCUUUGACGGGUAGCCGGCCUGAGAGGGUGACCGGCCACAUUGGGACUGAGAUACGGCCCAGACUCCUACGGGAGGCAGCAGUGGGGAAUAUUGCACAAUGGGCGGAAGCCUGAAGCAGCAACGCCGCGUGCGGGAUGACGGCCUUCGGGUUGUAAACCGCUUUCGCCUGUGACGAAGCGUGAGUGACGGUAAUGGGUAAAGAAGCACCGGCUAACUACGUG
rnacentral:rRNA from 1 species